UACGAAGGGGGCUAGCGUUGCUCGGAAUUACUGGGCGUAAAGGGCGCGUAGGCGGACAGUUUAGUCAGAGGUGAAAGCCCAGGGCUCAACCUUGGAAUUGCCUUUGAUACUGGCUGUCUUGAGUUCGGGAGAGGUGAGUGGAAUGCCGAGUGUAGAGGUGAAAUUCGUAGAUAUUCGGCGGAACACCAGUGGCGAAGGCGACUCACUGGCCCGGUACUGACGCUGAGGCACGAAAGCGUGGGGAGCAAACAGG
rnacentral:rRNA from 1 species